CAUGGCGUGAAGUGCAAGGACCAACACAAGGAUCUGGGUUUGAGCCCCCUGGCUCCCCACCUGCAGGGAGCCGCUUCAUAAGUGGUGAAGCAGGUCUGCAGAUAUCACUUUCUUCCCCUUGCCCCAUCCUCCCUUCCUCUCUCAAUUUCUCCCUGCCCUGUCCAUAAAAUGGGGGGAACCACAAAACUUGAGACUGCUUCUGUGUUGCUUCCUAUCUGCUCUAUGCAAAAAAAAAAAAAAAAAAAAGUCAAAAGAUAACUGUGGCUUUUUUUUUCUGUCACCUAUAUCCCAUCUGUUCUCUUCCUGAUCCUAUAAGCACAAAUUUUCCAAAAUACAAUGGCCUAUUUUAUGUUUUUGUCUACACAGGAAAGCUCAGGAAGAGGGCAAUGCCCAAAGGACUCCCUGGUAACUUCUGCUGGGCACUUGCCACUUGCCACUUGGCAUCUGAUGCAUCUGAUCAGGGGGCUGGGGAAGGGGAGAAUCUUAGAGGACAGGAAAGGAGAAGAAAGCAAAGGAAAAGAAAAGAAAGACAAAGAAGAAAGAAUGAGAAGAAAGAUGCUGUGAUGUCCCCUGAGGAGGCCAGGAGUCAUGGUUAGAGCAGUCACCGCUGGACUCAUAUGAGGGGGGUUAGGAGUGGGUCAGCUUCCCACCCAGCCCCUCCCACAAGGCAGCCAGGUUUGGGUGGAUGUUGAGGGCAGUGCCCCUUCCCUAGCUGGGUCAGAACCAGUGUUUCCUGGGAAUGUGGUAGCUUCAAGAGGCCCAAACCUUUUAACUAGGUCCACACACCCCUCGCUCUGUCUCUUCACUCCAACUUCUCAGUGGAUCCCCUUCUCCUGUCCCCACCCAAGUCCUCUCACCCUCUCACUGUUCUUCCUCAGUGGACCUCCAAGUGCAGGGGAGGAAUCUGAGUGUCUACCCAGCCCUCCUGGGCAUCCCACAGGAAUCUCAGGCAUCUCAUCUGUCCCACCUCUCUUCUGGGGACCAAUUCAGCCUGACCUAGGAGUCCUCACGAGGUGAAAAGCACUUGCAGGCAGGCAGAGAGGCAUUGCCUUAUUUAGCUGUGCCGCCCCCAGCGGAGGCCCAAAAAGGAAGGAAGAGGAGGGGGAUGAAAGGCAGAUAGGAGCAAAAGGAGAAGAAAGCCCAAGGCCUGGGUGAUUCUGGGAAUUCAGGCAAAGAGUAACGUCAUCAGGGAACGUGUCACCGGGUCAGUGGGUGUGGGGAAGGCUGGGUGACUCGGGCCCUGUGACUCAUUUACAAGAGAGGCCGGCCUCCGUAUCCAGAAGUCAUUCACAGAUGCUAUCCAUGGUGCUCCCAUGUGAUUCCAGGGCUCAAACCCAGGACCUCCUGCACAGUAAGCUGCAAGCAAACUCUACCAGACAGAGAAAGGAGUCACCACAGCACUGUCCCACCACCUACAGGGAUUCCCUCAGUGUUCCUAUAGUAAGUAUUUCCACAUGGGACAUGGGCUUGGAACCCAGGUCUGUGAGAAUGCAUUCUACUGGAUGAGUGAUGAUUUCUUGGCCUAGUAUUAGUUUCUUUUCAAGCCUCUCUCUGGGCUGGGAAGACAGAACAGUGGUUAUACAAAAGAUUUUCAUGCCUGAAGCUCUGAGGUUCUAGGUUCAAUCCCCAGCAUCACCAUAAGCCAAAGCUGAGCAGUGCUCUGGUCUUUCUCUCUGUAUCUUUCUCACUCAUUAAAAUAUUAAAAUAAAAUA